UAAUACUCUCAUCAUCUCAAUUGUUGUUAGAUUAUUAUUAGAGGUGUAUAUAUAUAUAAUUUUUUUAAUACUAGUACAGUAUUACUAAUAACAAGAAUAAUAAUUGUGGCGGCAUCAUCUCCAUUGCUGCUGCUGUUGUUGUUGUUAGAUUAGAGGAAGAGGAGCAAGGAGGAAGGAAUGUCUGGUAUUCCAUGGGGUGGCUCAAUCAAGGAUUCCGAAAGAUAUGGCUUUGAAUCGGUUUUCAUCUCUCUCUAGACUAGACGUGAUCGACUCGUGUGCCUGGCAGCGGCUUGCUCCUCAAUCUAUAGAGCGGGUGUACGUAAUCAUCCCUUUGAAGUUCCAUCAUUCCCAACUUCCAUUCUCGAGGACGACGCAAUGAAAAAAAUGCUUGCCAGACGUGAACGUUAUCUGACAAAGAUGCACAAGGCGAUGUUGUUUCAGCCGAAAUCCAUAAGUCUGAUGAUCAAGGAGCUUGUUCAGAAACAAUGUUCCAUCAAUCUGAUGACCAAAAAAGAAAAGAAUUGCUUGAAAAGAAGGCAACGAAGAAACGAUUUCCAGACUUUGUUUGGUAAUCGGGGGAUAUAUUUGAACUGUCUUAUGCUUUUGUGUGUUUAGAAUGGAAGAUUGUUAAUUUUUAUUUUGGUGGAGAAUCAUUGUCAUAUACAUUUUUAAUCUAAUUUGCUUCAUUUGCUCUUUUUAUUUA